GAAGAGCAGCGAGCUCGCCCUGCCACCGCCAUGCGGGGCUUUCAGCGGGGCUCCCGGCUGCUGGCCACCGUGCUGCGGACCCCACGGGUCCCCCGGGCGCAGGUCACCUCCAAGCCACCCGAACAUCCACUCUCUGCUGCUGAGCAGGUCAUCGCGCUUUCCGUGAUGUCCAUGUGCUUCCUGAUGCCAACAGCCUGGAUCCUGGCACACGUGGAGCACUACAAGAGCAGAUCAGAUUAAGAAGUGGCAAGAACAACCUGCGUCCCGUUGAGAGCAGAAGUGUGAGCGAGGACAAGACCGCAGAACAGAUCUUCACCGGGAAGGAACCCUCCCAGUUUGUUCAUUAAAAUUCACAUGAGCAUUCA